GAUGAACGCUGGCGGCGUGCCUAAUACAUGCAAGUCGAGCGAACAGACGAGGAGCUUGCUCCUCUGACGUUAGCGGCGGACGGGUGAGUAACACGUGGAUAACCUACCUAUAAGACGGGGAUAACUUCGGGAAACCGGAGCUAAUACCGUAGAAGAUAUUGAACCGCAUGGUUCAAUAGUGAAAGACGGUUUUGCUGUCACGUAUAGAUGGAUCCGCGCCGCAUUAGCUAGUUGGUAAGGUAACGGCUUACCAAGGCAACCAUGCGUAGCCGACCUGAGAGGGUGAUCGGCCACACGGGAGCUGAGCCGCGGUCCAGGCUCCUACGGGAGGCAGCAGUAGGCAAUGUUACGCAAUGGGGGAAAGCCUGACGGAGCGACGCCGCGUGAGUGAUGACGGUCUUCGGAUCGUAAAACUCUGUUAUUAGGGAAGAACAAAUGUGUAAGUAACUAUGCACGUCUUGACGGUAACUAAUCAGAAAGCCACGGCUAACUACGUG
rnacentral:rRNA from 1 species